rnacentral:rRNA from 1 species
GACGAACGCUGGCGGCGUGCUUAACACAUGCAAGUCGAGCGGUAAGGCCCUUUCGGGGGUACGACGAGCGGCGAACGGGUGAGUAACACGUGGGUGACCUGCCCUCAGCUCUGGGAUAAGCCUGGGAAACUGGGUCUAAUACUGGAUAUGACUCCACGGUGCAUGUCGUGGGGUGGAAAGCCUUGUGCGGCUGAGGAUGGGCCCGCGGCCUAUCAGCUUGUUGGUGGGGUGANGGCCUACCAAGGCGACGACGGGUAGCCGGCCUGAGAGGGCGACCGGCCACACUGGGACUGAGACACGGCCCAGACUCCUACGGGAGGCAGCAGUGGGGAAUCUUGCGCAAUGGGCGAAAGCCUGACGCAGCGACGCCGCGUGAGGGAUGACGGCCUCGGUGUAA